UACGAGAGGCCCAAACGUUAUUCGGAUUUACUGGGCUUAAAGAGUUCGUAGGCGGUUCGACAAGUGAGGUGUGAAAUCCCUCGGCUUAACCGAGGAAUUGCGCUUCAAACUGUCGGGCUCGAGGGAGAUAGAGGUGAGCGGUACUGAUGGUGGAGCGGUGAAAUGCGUUGAUAUCAUCAGGAACACCAGAGGCGAAGGCGGCUCACUGGGUCUCUUCUGACGCUGAGGAACGAAAGCUAGGGGAGCAAACGGG
rnacentral:rRNA from 1 species